GUGACCUGCAUCUUUGUGCUUUGAAGGUGUGCAGUUUUUGCCCAAAGAGGCAAACACUGCUGUAAAGGCAGCUCCAGAUGCUAGGGAAAGUUUGCAUACACUUUGACAGAUUUUUGGCAGGUCAGCUUCUGUGCAGCCAGCCUUGGGUCUGAUGAGGAAGAGCUAACGCCAGAGCCACUGCAAGAUUUUGGCAUUGUCACACGGAUCUGUGUUGCCACUGGGUUUCAGGUAACAGUCUCAUCUCCCAUGUUGCUUUUAUCUGUAUGAAUUACUUCCACUCCCUUCCUAAGAGUCAGAUGGGCUGGACUCACAGCACACAAACCCUCUCUUCUGGUACUGUGUGACUUUGGUUCAGACUGAAUUUACCUCCUGAUAUCUGCUAAUCUCACACUGGACACCUUCUGGUAAAAAUAGCAUGGUAUGUUCUGACCAGUGUACAAUCUUCUGCACUGAAUCAGGGUUAUUGAUUUUUGUUGUUGGUGUGUGUUUUUUAGAUGCAGAAAUCGAUAUAACCCCUUUAUCUUCCCAUCACCAGUAUAUUAAAUGAACUUGAAACUUUUAAUGAGGAUGAUUCAAAACUUAGGGUUGUUACAUCUUUAAAUUCGAUAGUGUUCUGAAAGUUAAAGGAUGUGUGCACAUAUUUUGUUCGUUUAGUUAUAACUGUUAGGACCAUGUCUACUGGGAUUUGAAGUCUUUCAGAGGUACAGUGAAAGUCAAAUAGAAAAGUGCAUGCCCUUUAUUUAUGUUCUCAUCGAAGUCCAUGGGUUUUCCUUCUUGCAUAAAGUCAGAGAACUUCUAUCAGAGAACUUGUAUUUGGCCCUUAAUGCCUUUUCUGGACCCAUCUAAGCAUUCAAAUACCUUAUCACAGGUUGAGUGCUGCCUCCAAAGUGUAUUUAUAUCUAUGAUAACCUUGUGUAAGUUAGUCAUUGAGGUGAUGUGGAAGUCUAAAACUGCAUUGGUUUUUGAGAACACACUGAAGUAGUAGGAGUGAGAAUUGAUGUCUCUGAGUAAGUUGGGGAAAAAUAGAUUAAAAAUAGAUUUUUUGGUGGAAGGAGCCAAAGAGGACUGUUUAUGCCCCAAACGUUGUUCUGACCAAUCGGUUCUAAUAAAAAGCUGCUGUAGUAAUAAAUUCUGUCUCUCUUGCAUCCAUAAACUGCUUUACUACAGUAGCAAUAUUGGUGCUAUAUGAAGUGUUUCAAGUUACUUUUAACAUAGAUGUUCAAAGGAUCCAGAAGGAAAAGGAGUUUUAAUGUUCUGCACAGCUUGGAAAUAUAACUGAAUUUAUAGUUAACCAACUGCACUAACUGCAACAUUGAUGUAAUUUUUUUUUUCCUUGGCAUUGCUUGAUUUUAUCAUUUAGCACCACUUCUUUGUUGCGCUUUGUUUUCUCUGAUUUUUUUUUUUAAGAGAUCUUUCAUUCUCCUAAAUUAAAAAAAUUGUUGUAGUUUGUUUACACUGGUAAAAUUUAUCCAUCCUUCACAGUCUUGGAAGGUAGCACAUAAGGGGAGAGCAGAACAAACUAGAAAUGUGCUUGCGGGGUGGGGAGGAGGGCAUCUGAGGCAUGGGGCAUCUGAGGCAUUAGUUCCUUUGGUGAAUUUAGAAAAUUAUUUAAUUUGAUUAAUAUUUUUAAGAUAUCACUUCGGAAUUGUACCUGUUUAUUAAAGGGAAAAAUAGUAAAGAGACAAACUAGUAAAGGGAUAAAUGUGAGAAAGAUGCUUGAGUGUUGAAAGCCGCUGGGCUUCACAAUAGAUGAAUGCACCAUGUGAUGGACCUUUUAAAACUGUGCUCUAGUGAACAUGCUGGUGAAUAAUACUGCGUUUGUAGAAGGAGGAGCAGUUUUUGAAAUAAGCUUUUUUCUUUUGCUGUUUUUCCUGAUCUUUUGAACCCCAAAGUUUGGUAGUGUAAAAUCCUAUAAAUCAAGCUCCAGUCUCUGUGGGGCAGCUGGGUCUGAAGAUGGUAGGAGGAUUUCCUAGCUGAACUUUUAAGUUGUCCUGUAAAAAAAAAUCUUGGGUGCUGUUCACUGUCUCAUCCUCCUCUCUUCACACUUACCUCCCUCCCCUUUAACUGUUUUUUAGUGAAUGUGGUCUAGGAAGCUGAAAAGUGGUACUAUUACUAGCUAGGCUUGUAAUCCUAUUGGCUUUCUCUUAAAAGAAAACCAGAAUCUACUCUUUUUUUUUUCGAUGGCUUCUUAAUACCAACAAAGUAGCUUCUUGUAAACCGCGUUCUUAUUAUCCCAUUCUUUCCCUGCUGCCCAACUGACAGCCUGUGUUGAUUACAGAUUUCUUCUGAGGAGUUUUUCAAGGGCUUAUGAGCUAAGCUGUGCAAACAGGGUGAUUUUCAAUUCACACAGGUGUCACCAAAUAGCUCUAAUGUAUUGGGAACUACAUGGAAUUAAUCCUGUCCUGUGGGAGGGUUUUUUUGGGGGGGGUAAAAGCAAGGGGGUUGCUUCAUAUCCUAGUGUUCAUAUUAUUAAUAUCAUUUUAAAAGAUUGGUCAUGUUCUUGUAAGCUUUGGGGAGCAAAUGGUCAUGAUAGUGAAAAAGUAACCAUUUUACCACAAAUAUUUUAAACCUAGACCAGAGUCUCAGUUUUAUGAUUAAAUGUUUCAGCUGUCUGUAAGUGUAUAACUAAUGCAUGCGGUAUAUUGGUUUCCAGUAUAAAAUCUGUGAUUUUCUAUCACUUGAGUUGUUCAGCAAACAUAAUCAGCCUGUAAUACAUCUCUCUGAAAGGCAUAUUUCUGUGAAUAAAACUCGUCAGUGUUUAUCUGCAAUAGAUGCUUUGUUCCUUCUCACUUAGGGUGUUACUUCUGUGCAGAUGAUCACUCCUGACAACAGCUCCAGUAAUAACACGUGUCCUCUGCUGCAAUAAGCUCAUGCUGGCCCUGCCACACUCCCUCCAGUGCCUCUGGUGUCACACUGGUGCAGGCACAGGCAUUGCAGUGCAGAAGGACGUGAAAUCCUUGAGACAGACCAUAGCUUGCCUAGUAUGCAAGAGCUGUGCGAGAAGGUAGCCAGAAUAUUUGCCAGUCAUGGAAAAGAAAUGGGGAAGGUGCCUCUAAUCUAAAGCCAGAUGAACAGACAUCAAGGUGAGAUAUGACCAAGUGAAUCAGCAGCUGACCUGGAAAAAGACCCAGUCUGAGACAGGCAUGUUUUCAUGGGAGGACUCAGCUGUCCCUGAAAUCCAGUGUGUUCUUCAGUCUGUAUCAUUUCUUAAUUCUGGAAAGCCAAACAUGACAAUGUGAAUAAAGCCCAGAAAAUCACAAAACUGUGUACUGAAAAGCAUGAGAUCCUAAUCAAAUUGUAUGCAUAUAAAAUACAUUUUUAUAUAUUAUAUAGAGUAGUGUAAUAUUUUAUAUUUUUUGUUAUAUUUAUGACAUAUAUAUAUAUAAUGUAUUAUAUAUUUUUACAUAGGUAUAAUGUUAAACCAAACAACAACAACAAAAGAUUUACAUUUACUGCAUGAUUUCUAUGUAAAUAUAAGGCAACACUUCUGUGUGUAUUUCUCUUCAGUCAGGAAACACUGUGCUCAGCAUUGUCAGCAUCAGCUUACCUAAAUUUAUAUAAUGGUUUCUGUUACUUGGAACCUGUUGAGAUUUUUGGCAGCUCUCCUAUUUAUUGGUGUCUGAACACUUACAGGUCAGAACAGGGAAUGUGUUAGUCUUCUGUUUUCCUGUACUGUCAAUCCCAAGUGUCUUCUAGCAGUGCUGCAGGUACUUAAAUAAAGAAGGUUAGUACU